rnacentral:rRNA from 1 species
GACGAACGCUGGCGGCGUGCCUAAUACAUGCAAGUCGAACGCACAGUUUAUACCGUAGCUUGCUACACCAUAGACUGUGAGUUGCGAACGGGUGAGUAACGCGUAGGUAACCUGCCUGGUAGCGGGGGAUAACUAUUGGAAACGAUAGCUAAUACCGCAUAAUAUUAAUUAUUGCAUGAUAAUUAAUUGAAAGGUGCAAUUGCACCACUACCAGAUGGACCUGCGUUGUAUUAGCUAGUAGGUGAGGUAACGGCUCACCUAGGCGACGAUACAUAGCCGACCUGAGGGGGUGAUCGGCCACACUGGGACUGGGACACGGCCCAAACUCCUACGGGAGGCAGCAGUAGGGAAACUUCGGCAAUGGACGAAAGUCUGACCGAGCAACGCCGCGGGAGUGAAGAAGGUUUUCGGAUCGGAAAGCUCUGUUGUAAGGGAAGAACGGGUGUGAGGGUGGAAAGUUCACACUGUGACGGUAUCUUACCAGAAAGGGACGGCUAACUACGUG